AUCUGAACUGGUGUGAUGAGUUUUCUUAUCUGCUUGUAGUCGCGUGAGAAGUUUGUGUCUUUAAAGAAGAAUACAAAAGGAGAAAUUGUUGCAGAGUUGGAAGAGGAUCUGGAGAACUCAAAGUCAACAUUUGAGAAGAGCCGUUUCAAUCUAAAUGCAGGUAAAUUCAUUGAUGACUAUUGAAGCUAAAAAGAAGUAUGAGUUUUUAGAAUCCAUAAGUGCAAUUAUGGAUGCCCAUCUGAGAUAUUUUA